rnacentral:rRNA from 1 species
GAUGAACGCUGGCGGCGUGCCUAAUACAUGCAAGUCGAGCGAACAGACGAGGAGCUUGCUCCUCUCUCGUUAGCGGCGGACGGGUGAGUAACACGUGUAUAACCUACUUAUAAUACUGGGAUCAUUUCGGGACACCGGCUAUAAUACCGUAGAAUAUAUUGAAGCGCAUGGUUCAAUAGUGAGAUUCGGCUGUUCGGGCUCUACUAGAGGGUUCCGGGCUGUAUUAGCUAGUUGGUGAGGUAACGGCUUACCAAGGCGACUAUGCGUAACCGAGCUGAGAGGGGGGUAGGCCACAUUGGAACGGGAACACGGUCCAGACUCCUACGAGAGGCAGCAGUAGGGUACCGGCCGCAACGGUGGAGAGUCUUACGGAGCAGCGCCGAGUGAGAGAUGAAGAUCUUCGGAGCGUAAAACUCUGUUAUUAGGGAAAAACAAAUGUGUAAGUAACUGUGCACGUCUUGACGGUACCUAAUCAGAAAGCAACGGCUAACUACGUG